CCUACGGGAGGCAGCAGUGAGGAAUAUUGGUCAAUGGGCGGGAGCCUGAACCAGCCAAGCCGCGUGAGGGAAGAAGGUACAGCGUAUCGUAAACCUCUUUUGUCGGGGAGCAAAGCGCGGUACGAGUGCCGUGAAGGAGAGUACCCGAAGAAAAAGCAUCGGCUAACUCCGUGCCAGCAGCCGCGGUAAUACGGAGGAUGCGAGCGUUAUCCGGAUUUAUUGGGUUUAAAGGGUGCGUAGGCGGAUUUGUAGGUCAGCGGUAAAAAUGCGGUGCUCAACGCCGUAUCGCCGUUGAAACUGCGGGG
rnacentral:rRNA from 1 species